rnacentral:tRNA from 1 species
AGGAAUGAAGUAUACUACCUGUACAUUUUACUUACACUGAAAAAGUCUCUAUUAUUGGAGCGUUC